CCAGAGAGAGGGUCAAGAUACCAAUGAAUCAUCACUAUAUCAUCUCAUCUGGGAAUUGGGAUUCUCUCUGCUCUUGGGUGAGGUUGUUUCCAGACAACAAUUCCAGUUGUUGGAAUUACAGCAACAUCCUCGUCUCUUACCAGUUUGCUACAGAUGCCCCAAAAUGCAUCAUUCUAAGAUACCACAGAUUCAGGCAGAAAAUGUGCAGCUGACAAAUGAACAGGUCAGACUUGUGCAAGAAGAACAGACAAUUUCUGGAUUAUUAAAGCUUCCAAGAGCUUCACUGCAAGUAUGUUAUCACUUCUUCAAGAUUUCUCUA